GAGGUCAGGAAGGCUCUCUUGGGUGCCCUGUCUUAUCCUUACAAGUGUCACUGCUUCCCCAGGACACUCAGGCCUUCUCCGGCUGCCCUAUCCUCCCGGGCUUUCUUCCUGCAUUCAUGGCCCUUUUCCAUCCUCCCUUGUAAGGAGUUUUGGAAAGCUACCUACCUAGGAAAGGAGCAACUAGUGUGGCUCGGGUUGUGGCUGUGCCACAUUGCAGGGGUGUGAAGUACCUGAGCGGAGUGGAAUCUGGGGCAGCCCUUCACUUGGGACCUUCCUGGUCUUCUCUCUCAACCAUUGUCCUUCAGGGUGCCAUGAAGGGUGCCGUUGUCCUUCAGGGUGCCACGUUUGCAGGAGCUAUGGCCUGGUAAGGGCCCCACUGACCACUCUUAGGCUACCAUGGACACUUCGGCCUGGCUACAUCAGGGAAGCACUGUGUGCUGUUCCAGACCCUGAGGAGGCCCCUCAUUUAGCCAUUCUUGAUAACUCUGUGUGCCCUCUUGUCCAACUUCUGUUAAGAACGCUGCCCUUGGGAGGCUAACAGGUUAUGGGGUAAGACGGAUCUGUCGGAUCUAUAACACCUCAAGAAAGAGGACACAUGAGAGGCACGUACUUAGGGUAGUCCAAGGAAGUGGGUGUGCUCUUCAAGGUGGAACGUGGAUGCCUCUCUGGGAGAAGAGGUGCUGUUUGCUGUCUGUUCAGGUGGCAGAGAAACAUGAGUGGUGUGUGUGGCAGUGGUGUGUGUGGCAGUGGUGUGUGUGUAUGUGUGUGUGUGUUGGAGGAUAUAUAUGGGAAUGUAUGGGUUGGGGGGACAUACCCAGAGAGUGCCAGCCAUCGGACUUUCAAUUCUGUGAGCAAGGAGGUUUCUGCUCAACUCCGUACAGACUUAUGUCCAACAGGGACCAACCAAGCAGAAGGGCUAGUAAAGAGUCAGUGGCUGGAUGGUCUCUCAGGGGCCCUUAGGCCUGAGGAUCCCUAGGACUUGGACCCCACUGAAUGAUGUGGAGAUUGGGAGCAGCUGACACUGUCACUGACCAUCUGAGAACUAAGUGCACAGCAUGACUGGGUGAUCAGAUGCCUCAUCAGCACUCCAAGAGCCACGGUGAAUGUAAAUGGUGCAGAUCUUUGCUGUGGGGAGGUGGGACCUCAGGAGGCUGAGGAAGUUCCUGCCCAAGGGAUCCCAUAGUGGAUUCCUGAAACUCUUCCUUAGACUUCUCCCAGCUUACACACCCCCAGGACUCCCGACCACCACCCCCAUCCUGAAAUUCCUUUACCGCCUUCCUCUUUACUUCCUUUGGGGUAAGUAUAUCACCCCUGUCCAGGGGUGGUCCACUUGAGUAUGUCUUUCCUAGCCCUUCAGGCUCUGGGCUGGGUAAUCCAUCUCUGAAGGCUUCUCCCCUAGGGUCAAAGACAGGGGUGUGGUGGGGAGUGGCUCUUCCAAAAUCAGAGGUAUAAACUUUUCCAUUUCAUUGAGCAGUUUCUGGGGUAGUUCCAGGGUCCAUGGCAGUCAUCCUCCACAGUGGGUCCUUGAUGGCACCCCUGACUUGAGGGGACGUCAGAGGCCCGCUUUGGACAGCACCCUCCCACAGGACACAGGCCUGGGCAAGGCUGUGUUCCUGGAGAUUGGAGGCAGACCUUCUUAGGAGUCACACUGUAGGCUCACUGCUGAGAUGCCCUGCUUCUGGACAGUGAGUUAGGCAA
rnacentral:lncRNA from 1 species